GUAACGAGCGCAACCCUUGUCCUUAGUUACCAGCACGUUAUGGUGGGCACUCUAAGGAGACUGCCGGUGACAAACCGGAGGAAGGUGGGGAUGACGUCAAGUCAUCAUGGCCCUACGGCCUGGGCUACACACGUGCUACAAUGGUCGGUACAAAGGGUUGCCAAGCCGCGAGGUGGAGCUAAUCCCAUAAAACCGAUCGUAGUCCGGAUCGCAGUCUGCAACUCGACUGCGUGAAGUCGGAAUCGCUAGUAAUCGUGAAUCAGAAUGUCACGGUGAAUACGGUUCCCGGGCCUU
rnacentral:rRNA from 1 species